AUCCCAUGAUGAGGGCACUUACAUAGUAGCUAUUUGAAUAUUUCUCAUGCCUCAUAUAAGGAUUUGUCAUCCAUUUGCUGAAAAGUAGUGAUCUCAUUCCGCAACUU
rfam:Gossypium raimondii chromosome 6, whole genome shotgun sequence.